rnacentral:tRNA from 1 species
UAGAGCAGCGGUUUCGUAAACCGCGGGUCGGGGGUUCGAUUCCCUUCGCUGGCU